UACAGAGGGGGCAAGCGUUGUUCGGAAUUACUGCGCGUAAAGGGCGCGUAGGCGGCCUUCUAAGUCGAACGUGAAAUCCCUGGGCUCAACCCAGGAACUGCGUCCGAUACUGGAAGGCUUGAAUCCGGGAGAGGGAUGCGGAAUUCCAGGUGUAGCGGUGAAAUGCGUAGAUAUCUGGAGGAACACCGGUGGCGAAGGCGGCAUCCUGGACCGGUAUUGACGCUGAGGCGCGAAAGCCAGGGGAGCAAACGGG
rnacentral:rRNA from 1 species